rnacentral:rRNA from 1 species
AUGAACGCUGGCGGCGUGCCUAAUACAUGCAAGUCGAGCGAACAGACGAGGAGCUUGCUCCUCUGACGUUAGCGGCGGACGGGUGAGUAACACGUGGAUAACCUACCUAUAAGACUGGGAUAACUUCGGGAAACCGGAGCUAAUACCGGAUAAUAUAUUGAACCGCAUGGUUCAAUAGUGAAAGACGGUUUUGCUGCCACUUAUAGAUGGAUCCGCGCCGCAUUAGCUAGUUGGUAAGGUAACGGCUUACCAAGGCAACGAUGCGUAGCCGACCUGAGAGGGUGAUCGGCCACACUGGAACUGAGACACGGUCCAGACUCCUACGGGAGGCAGCAGUAGGGAAUCUUCCGCCAUGGGCGCCCGCCUGCCGGCGCACCGCCGCGUGAGUGAUGAAGGUCUUCGGAUCGUAAAACUCUGUUAUUAGGGAAGAACAAAUGUGUACGUAACUAUGCACGUCUUGACGGUACCUCCUCAGAAAGCCACGGCUCCCUACGUG